UCCAGCAAGGUGUGGCCCAGCCUAAAUGUGUGUACCACCACGUCUGGAUCUGGGACUUGUCCUAAGAUGACCUUGAACUCAGAGAUCUCCUUGCCUUAGUCUCCUGGGAUUCAUGGCCACUAUGUCUCAAGAUCUCCAUGCCAAGAUCCAGGUCAGAAACUUGUCGCUCCCAGCCUCAAGAUCUGGAUCGCAGAUGGUGAUGGUGUGCCUCCGAAUCAGUUCGUCUGGUGGCUCGCUUUCUCUUCCCAGGAAUGAGCUUUCCAGAGUCCAGGAGGAUGUAACAGAAACUACAGUCUCUGUCGUAGUCACUGUGGAGAUUAUGAAGAUCACAGUCCUAAAUCACUAGUCAGUCAGAGACGGAAAACUGCACCCAGACAUAUCCCAGCGAGAAGAAACCAAUGGAGACUGACUUCAGAUGAUAUACAAGUUGAAAUUAGAAUGACCUCAGAAUGACCAAAGUGACUCAGCUCGAGAGCCUAAAGGAAUUAUAUUCACGACUAAGGCUCAGCAGAAGAUCAGAAACGUUUCUUUUUAAGUCACAGUAAGACAGUUUUUUUAAUUAAGUUUAGUUUGAUUUGAUGUGCUUUGGUGUUCUGCCUGCAUAUAUAUCUGUGUGAAGAUGUCAGAUCUUGGAGUUACAGACGGUUGCGAGCUGCCAUGUGGGCACUGGGAAUAGAACUCGGACCCUCUGGAAGAGCUUUCAGUGCUCCUGACCACUGAGCCAUUCCUCCAGCCAGGAAGAGGAGUGGG
rnacentral:lncRNA from 1 species